AGAAGCCCAAAUACUUUUAUUCCUUUUUGGUUUCCCUUACAUGGUGCGGACAGAGUAUGAUGCUUGUCUGAAAUACCUAAAGGCACAAGAAAAGCUACAUCUUAAUACUCAACUAAUGUUAUUCACUCAGAUUGUUCUCCUCACCUUCUACCAAUUUUCCUGUUCAUGUUCGCUACACUAUCCCCCACUCAAAAAAAUUACACAUCCGUGCAAAGGGAUAACAUAGGGAGGAUAGAAAAAUGAUCGAUACAACUCCCAACAACAUCUCUCCCGAAUUCAUCUCCAUCCUACCAAAUACGAGUGCAAAAUCUCCUGCUCCGUAGCCUCUGGACCAUGACAGAUGUAAAGAGAACAGUUGCCUGUUGUCGCCUCUGCUUCCCCUAUCCACCACAAAACAUGCAGAGCACUUAGAAAUUCCACAUGAUUUAGAGAACAACACGUACAAGAUUAAGAUAGCUACACCUUCAUUCGGAGAAAAAAAAUCACCACGUUCCUCGCCCGCCGCUAGCAAACACCAAGCAUGAUUCGGAAGUGCUGGAUUCGGAUUUUGAAAAUGAACUGGGAAAAGUGCUAAUGAAGGGAUAAUGGGGGAGAGGGCAGCUAACUGAUGUGGUUCUCUGGCCAGCGGUGGCCGGCGGGAGGAGACGAUGAGUGGCGGCGCUCAGAUUUGGGGAGGAGGCGGUAGAGAAAUUGUAUGGUCGUAGGGGAGUGGUGCACUGCCUAGGAGGCCAGCCUAACGGGAAGCUGCAAGGAGGCGAGGGAGCCGGCUAGAACCCUAGCUCGUGCCCUUCUCUGUUGUGGUCCGUGGGGUGGCGGCGCACCACCGGGGAGGC
rnacentral:lncRNA from 1 species